GACGAACGCUGGCGGCGUGCUUAACACAUGCAAGUCGAACGGAGUGGCGAACGGGUGAGUAACACGUGGGUGACCUGCCCUGCACUUCGGGAUAAGCCUGGGAAACUGGGUCUAAUACCGGAUAGUUGGGGAUGGGCCCGCGGCCUAUCAGCUGGUUGGUGGGGUAAUGGCCUACCAAGGCGGCGACGGGUAGCCGGCCCGAGGGGGUUGACGGCCAAAUUGGGGCUGAGACACGGCCCAGACCCUUACGGGGGGCAGGAGUGGGGAAAAUUGCAAAAUGGGCGAAAGCCUGAUGCGGGGAGGCGGGGUGGGGAUGACGGCCUUCGGGUUGUAAACUCCUUUCACCAUCGACGCGGUAGAUGGAGAAGAAGCACCGGCUAACUACGUGCCAGCAGCCGCGGUAAUUC
rnacentral:rRNA from 1 species